AUGCAGCAAGUACCUUGGGAGUAUCAGCUGGCCGUGGCCGAUUACUGGAAGGGGGGGCCGGCGGCCAUGGAGCCAGCAGCUACUGCAUGGGUUCCUGGCCUCCCUCUGGAGAUGACAGUCGCUGCUCCUGCUGCUAGCCACGGUGAUCUGGCCGUCAGCUCCAGCGGACGGCAGCAGCAGCAGCAGCUGGCCAUGGUCGAGAGCACCACCGACCAUCACCAUCAGUACGAGUGGAGCGGUCCGGUGGAAGCGUUCGAGCAAGCAGCGCGGGAGUUCGAGGACAAGCUCGGCAGGACGGAGACGAAGAUCCACCUGUUCCCGGCGAGCAUGGUGGACCUCGCUGAGCGCUACGCCGCGCCCAGGACCGUCUCCAUCGGCCCCUACCACCACGGCCGGAGCCACGCCGUCCUUCAGAUGGAGAGCACCAAGCACGUGGCCUCCUGGCACUUCGUCAGGGCCUCGGGCCGCUCCGUCGAGGAGGUGUACUCCGCGGUCUGCGCCGUCGCCGACGAGGCCCGCGGCUGCUACGACGAGGAAAGGGUGCGGGGUCUCGCUGACGACGACUUCAAGCCCAUGAUGUUCUUCGACGGCUGCUUCCUGCUGCAGUACCUGCUGUACGCGUCCACGUACGGCGGCGACGACGAGGACGAGGGGAUGGCAGUAGACCCGGCGCUGAGGAGCGCCUUCAGCUCCGACUCCGACCGCAUCUUCUCCGACGUCGUGCUGCUCGAGAACCAGCUCCCGCUCCCUGCAGGCCCGCAGGCCCUCGACGAGAAACCUCCUGCUUGGGACAGCAGCUACACGCCGCCGCACCUGCUCGGCCUCCUACGGUACUACAUCGUCGGAACCGGAACCAAGCUCUCGUCCGAGUCCUCCCGCGGCCUAUCCGAGAAGGCCGAGAAGGUGUCCAUCUCCGUGAGCGCCGUGGAGCUCGCGGAGAUGGGCAUCCAGCUGACGGCCACCAAGACGGGGGCGGAGCUGAAGGAGAUGGGCGUCAGGAAGGGGCUGCUCUCCGGCGAGCUCUUCCUGGCGCCGCUGUCCCUGGACGACGCGAACGCCGGGUUCCUCGUCAACAUGGCGGCGCUGGAGCUGUGCACGACGCCGGACUUCUCCGAGGCCGGCGAGGAGCGGUCCACCGUGUGCUCGUACCUCUGCCUGCUGGGCAUGGUGACGGACCGCGUGGAGGACGUGCAGGAGCUGCGCACGAAUCACAUCUUGCAGGGGGGAGCGGGGCUGACCAACGAGGACGCGCUCCGCCUCUUCAUCAGCCUCGAGAAGCACCUGCGGCCCGGGAGAUGCUACCUCCGCACCAUGCUGGACAUCGAGAACUACAGGGUCCAUAGGCCGGUGCGCACCAUGGUGUACAGGUUUGGCUACAAGAAUAUGAAGACUAUCAUCACCGUGCUGACCGUCGUUGGCGCAUUUGUCGGUUUGCUCGAGGCAAUCAAGUCUCUUAGGAGUAAGUAA
rnacentral:rRNA from 1 species